UAAGCGACUAAGCGUACACGGUGGAUGCCCUGGCAGUCAGAGGCGAUGAAGGACGUGCUAAUCUGCGAUAAGCGUCGGUAAGGUGAUAUGAACCGUUAUAACCGGCGAUUUCCGAAUGGGGAAACCCAGUGUGAUUCGUCACACUAUCAUUAACUGAAUCCAUAGGUUAAUGAGGCGAACCGGGGGAACUGAAACAUCUAAGUACCCCGAGGAAAAGAAAUCAACCGAGAUUCCCCCAGUAGCGGCGAGCGAACGGGGAGCAGCCCAGAGCCUGAAUCAGUGUGUGUGUUAGUGGAAGCGUCUGGAAAGGCGUGCGAUACAGGGUGACAGCCCCGUACACAAAAAUGCACAUGCUGUGAGCUCGAUGAGUAGGGCGGGACACGUGGUAUCCUGUCUGAAUAUGGGGGGACCAUCCUCCAAGGCUAAAUACUCCUGACUGACCGAUAGUGAACCAGUACCGUGAGGGAAAGGCGAAAAGAACCCCGGCGAGGGGAGUGAAAAAGAACCUGAAACCGUGUACGUACAAGCAGUGGGAGCACGCUUAGGCGUGUGACUGCGUACCUUUUGUAUAAUGGGUCAGCGACUUAUAUUCUGUAGCAAGGUUAACCGAAUAGGGGAGCCGAAGGGAAACCGAGUCUUAACUGGGCGUUAAGUUGCAGGGUAUAGACCCGAAACCCGGUGAUCUAGCCAUGGGCAGGUUGAAGGUUGGGUAACACUAACUGGAGGACCGAACCGACUAAUGUUGAAAAAUUAGCGGAUGACUUGUGGCUGGGGGUGAAAGGCCAAUCAAACCGGGAGAUAGCUGGUUCUCCCCGAAAGCUAUUUAGGUAGCGCCUCGUGAAUUCAUCUCCGGGGGUAGAGCACUGUUUCGGCAAGGGGGUCAUCCCGACUUACCAACCCGAUGCAAACUGCGAAUACCGGAGAAUGUUAUCACGGGAGACACACGGCGGGUGCUAACGUCCGUCGUGAAGAGGGAAACAACCCAGACCGCCAGCUAAGGUCCCAAAGUCAUGGUUAAGUGGGAAACGAUGUGGGAAGGCCCAGACAGCCAGGAUGUUGGCUUAGAAGCAGCCAUCAUUUAAAGAAAGCGUAAUAGCUCACUGGUCGAGUCGGCCUGCGCGGAAGAUGUAACGGGGCUAAACCAUGCACCGAAGCUGCGGCAGCGACGCUGAUGCGUUGUUGGGUAGGGGAGCGUUCUGUAAGCCUGUGAAGGUGUACUGUGAGGUAUGCUGGAGGUAUCAGAAGUGCGAAUGCUGACAUAAGUAACGAUAAAGCGGGUGAAAAGCCCGCUCGCCGGAAGACCAAGGGUUCCUGUCCAACGUUAAUCGGGGCAGGGUGAGUCGACCCCUAAGGCGAGGCCGAAAGGCGUAGUCGAUGGGAAACAGGUUAAUAUUCCUGUACUUGGUGUUACUGCGAAGGGGGGACGGAGAAGGCUAUGUUGGCCGGGCGACGGUUGUCCCGGUUUAAGCGUGUAGGCUGGUUUUCCAGGCAAAUCCGGAAAAUCAAGGCUGAGGCGUGAUGACGAGGCACUACGGUGCUGAAGCAACAAAUGCCCUGCUUCCAGGAAAAGCCUCUAAGCAUCAGGUAACAUCAAAUCGUACCCCAAACCGACACAGGUGGUCAGGUAGAGAAUACCAAGGCGCUUGAGAGAACUCGGGUGAAGGAACUAGGCAAAAUGGUGCCGUAACUUCGGGAGAAGGCACGCUGAUAUGUAGGUGAAGUCCCUCGCGGAUGGAGCUGAAAUCAGUCGAAGAUACCAGCUGGCUGCAACUGUUUAUUAAAAACACAGCACUGUGCAAACACGAAAGUGGACGUAUACGGUGUGACGCCUGCCCGGUGCCGGAAGGUUAAUUGAUGGGGUCAGCGCAAGCGAAGCUCUUGAUCGAAGCCCCGGUAAACGGCGGCCGUAACUAUAACGGUCCUAAGGUAGCGAAAUUCCUUGUCGGGUAAGUUCCGACCUGCACGAAUGGCGUAAUGAUGGCCAGGCUGUCUCCACCCGAGACUCAGUGAAAUUGAACUCGCUGUGAAGAUGCAGUGUACCCGCGGCAAGACGGAAAGACCCCGUGAACCUUUACUAUAGCUUGACACUGAACAUUGAGCCUUGAUGUGUAGGAUAGGUGGGAGGCUUUGAAGUGUGGACGCCAGUCUGCAUGGAGCCGACCUUGAAAUACCACCCUUUAAUGUUUGAUGUUCUAACGUUGACCCGUAAUCCGGGUUGCGGACAGUGUCUGGUGGGUAGUUUGACUGGGGCGGUCUCCUCCUAAAGAGUAACGGAGGAGCACGAAGGUUGGCUAAUCCUGGUCGGACAUCAGGAGGUUAGUGCAAUGGCAUAAGCCAGCUUGACUGCGAGCGUGACGGCGCGAGCAGGUGCGAAAGCAGGUCAUAGUGAUCCGGUGGUUCUGAAUGGAAGGGCCAUCGCUCAACGGAUAAAAGGUACUCCGGGGAUAACAGGCUGAUACCGCCCAAGAGUUCAUAUCGACGGCGGUGUUUGGCACCUCGAUGUCGGCUCAUCACAUCCUGGGGCUGAAGUAGGUCCCAAGGGUAUGGCUGUUCGCCAUUUAAAGUGGUACGCGAGCUGGGUUUAGAACGUCGUGAGACAGUUCGGUCCCUAUCUGCCGUGGGCGCUGGAGAACUGAGGGGGGCUGCUCCUAGUACGAGAGGACCGGAGUGGACGCAUCACUGGUGUUCGGGUUGUCAUGCCAAUGGCACUGCCCGGUAGCUAAAUGCGGAAGAGAUAAGUGCUGAAAGCAUCUAAGCACGAAACUUGCCCCGAGAUGAGUUCUCCCUGACUCCUUGAGAGUCCUGAAGGAACGUUGAAGACGACGACGUUGAUAGGCCGGGUGUGUAAGCGCAGCGAUGCGUUGAGCUAACCGGUACUAAUGAACCGUGAGGCUUAACCU
rnacentral:rRNA from 1 species